AAUGGUUAGCACUCUGGACUCUGAAUCCA
rnacentral:piRNA from 4 species